GUACUCGAGCGGCGAACGGGUGAGUAACACGUGAGCAACCUGCCCUAGGCUUUGGGAUAACCCUCGGAAACGGGGGCUAAUACCGAAUAUGACCUUAUGCCGCAUGGUGUUUGGUGGAAAGUUUUUCGGCCUGGGAUGGGCUCGCGGCCUAUCAGCUUGUUGGUGGGGUGAUGGCCUACCAAGGCGACGACGGGUAGCCGGCCUGAGAGGGCGACCGGCCACACUGGGACUGAGACACGGCCCAGACUCCUACGGGAGGCAGCAGUGGGGAAUAUUGCACAAUGGGCGGAAGCCUGAUGCAGCGACGCCGCGUGAGGGAUGACGGCCUUCGGGUUGUAAACCUCUUUCAGCAGGGACGAAGCGUAAGUGACGGUACCUGCAGAAGAAGCACCGGCCAACUACGUGCCAGCAGCCGCGGUAAGACGUAGGGUGCGAGCGUUGUCCGGAUUUAUUGGGCGUAAAGAGCUCGUAGGCGGCUUGUCGCGUCGACCGUGAAAACUUGGGGCUCAACUCCAAGCCUGCGGUCGAUACGGGCAGGCUAGAGUUCGGUAGGGGAGACUGGAAUUCCUGGUGUAGCGGUGAAAUGCGCAGAUAUCAGGAGGAACACCGGUGGCGAAGGCGGGUCUCUGGGCCGAUACUGACGCUGAGGAGCGAAAGCGUGGGGAGCGAACAGGAUUAGAUACCCUGGUAGUCCACGCUGUAAACGUUG
rnacentral:rRNA from 1 species